rnacentral:rRNA from 1 species
AGUGAUUCCUACGGGAGGCAGCAGUGGGGAAUAUUGGACAAUGGGCGAAAGCCUGAUCCAGCAAUGCCGCGUGAGUGAUGAAGGCCUUAGGGUUGUAAAGCUCUUUUACCCGGGAUGAUAAUGACAGUACCGGGAGAAUAAGCUCCGGCUAACUCCGUG